GCCCGGGUGGUGGAAUCGGUAGACACGAGGGACUUAAAAUCCCUUGAACGCAAGUUCGUGCGGGUUCAAGUCCCGCCCCGGGCA
rnacentral:tRNA from 1 species